GUAUCAAUAAGCCUGCAAGGAGCUAGAACUCAAGGUGACCAAGGUUGUCUGACUUGAAGCAAGUGAUUGAUGUUUUAGAAACUCAAGAUUCCUAUUUGUCUAAUGGUACUGGAGGACACAUUCGAAAAAACUAUUUGUUCUACAGGGGUUGCAAACAUGGCUCAGUGGUAGAGGUAACCAAGCAUCCCGCAGAGGACCUGACUUCAGUUUCCAGGACCCACAUCAUGAAGCUCAGAAGCACCUGUACCUUCAGCUCCAGGGCAUCUGACACCCUCUUCUGAACUUCACAGGCACCUGUACUAAUAUGUGCACAAACCACACACAAACAUACACAAAAACAUAACAACCCUUUAACCAUAACUUGUGCUACUAAUAUACUUUGGGGUGUGCUGUGCUCCACUGGAGCAUGCCGUACAUGUGAGAAGCCAUGCUUUUAAAGUAAACCAACUCUCCUCAUAGAAGCCACCAACUGGCCAUAGUCACUCAGUUCAGAGUGGGGACUCAUGAUCUUGUGCUGCUAGCCACAGCUGGUAAUGAAGGACUGUGGAUUCCAUCACAAUUGAUAAAAAUCCAAUCCAAGGAAGAGAACCUUCCACAUGAAAAGCAUGACUAAAGGAAGGAAAAGUUUCAGAAAGACAGCAGAACAGGUGAUGCAGAAAAAACUGAUAUGUCCCACCUGCAUGCGUAAUGGGGACAGCUCAACAAAUAGGAAGAAAAUGGACAGCUUGUUCAUCAGAUUGGCCGAUUGGAAAACCUUAAUGCUCUAGUGGACAAUUGCUGAAGGAAGAUGAUCAGUACUGCAAUUAUGAAGGGUCAUCAUAUCAACUUGUAUCAACAGUUCUUUAUAAAAAAUAGACUUAUAUUUAUGGAGUUAA